GUGUAUAUAAUGCAGAGUGUGUGUGUAUAUAAUGCAGAGUGUGUGUUUGUAUGAGUGUGUGUGUAUAUAAUGCAGAGUGUGUGCAUUAUAUACACACACACACACUGCAUUAUAAACACACACACACACACACACUCUGCAUUAUAUACACACACUCAUACAAAUACUCUGUGUGUGUGUACAUAAUGCAGUGUGUGUUUGUGUGAAUGCAGAGUGUGUAU